GUGUCACUUCGGCAGCACAUAUACUAAAAUUGCAAUGAUGCAGAGGUUAACAUGGCCCCUGCGCAAGGAUGACACACAGAUUCAUGAAGUGUUCCAUAUUUUU
rnacentral:snRNA from 1 species